rnacentral:rRNA from 1 species
UCGAGAAUCAUUCGCAAUGGGCGAAAGCCUGACGAUGCGACGCCGUGUGAACGAUGAAGGCCUUCGGGUUGUAAAGUUCUUUCGCUUGGGAACGCGUACCAGGUAAAGAAGCACCGGCUAACUCCGUGCCAGCAGCUGCGGUAAUACGGAGGUGCAAGCAUUAAUCGGAUUUAUUGGGUGUAAAGGGCGCGUAGGCGGGUCGGUAAGUCAGAUGUGAAAUUCCGGAGCUCAAUUUCGGAGCUGCAUUUGAAACUCCCAAUCUUGAGGAUAGACGGAGAAAAUGGAAUUCCACAUGUAGCGGUGAAAUGCGUAGAUAUGUGGAGGAACACCUGUGGCGAAAGCGAUUUUCUAGUUUAUAACUGACGCUGAGGCGCGAGAGCAAGGGGAGCAAACAGGAUUAGAUACCCGAGUAGU